UACGGAGGGUGCAAGCGUUGCUCGGAAUUAUUGGGCGUAAAGGGUAGGUAGGUGGUCUCAUUUGUCUGGGGUGAAAGCCUUGAGCUUAACUCAAGAAGUGCCUCAGAAACGGUGAGACUAGAGUCUUGGAGAGGGUCGUGGAAUUCCCGGUGUAGCGGUGAAAUGCGUAGAGAUCGGGAGGAACACCAGUGGCGAAAGCGGCUCCCUGGUCCAGCACCGACGUCAGGCACGAAAGCGUGGGGAGCAAACAGG
rnacentral:rRNA from 1 species